rnacentral:rRNA from 1 species
AUGAACGCUGGCGGCGUGCCUCAUACAUGCACGUCGAGCGAACGGACGAGAAGCUUGCUUCUCUGAUGUUAGCGGCGGACGGGUGAGUAACACUUGGAUAACCUACCUAUAAGACUGGGAUAACUUCGGGAAACCGGAGCUAAUACCGGAUAAUAUUUUGAACCGCAUGGUUCAAAAGUGAAAGACGGUCUUGCUGUCACUUAUAGAUGGAUCCGCGCUGCAUUAGCUAGUUGGUAAGGUAACGGCUUACCAAGGCAACGAUGCAUAGCCGACCUGAGAGGGUGAUCGGCCACACUGGAACUGAGACACGGUCCAGACUCCUACGGGAGGCAGCAGUAGGGAAUCUUCCGCAAUGGGCGAAAGCCUGACGGAGCAACGCCGCGUGAGUGAUGAAGGUCUUCGGAUCGUAAAACUCUGUUAUUAGGGAAGAACAUAUGUGUAAGUAACUGUGCACAUCUUGACGGUACCUAAUCAGAAAGCCACGGCUAACUACGUG